rnacentral:tRNA from 1 species
CAGAGAGUAGUUUAAGUUAAAAGAUUAAUUUUGGAGAUUAAUGAUAAAGAAUUUUUUCUCUGA